UACAGAGGGUGCAAGCGUUAAUCGGAAUUACUGGGCGUAAAGCGUGCGCAGGCGGUUAUAUAAGACAGAUGUGAAAUCCCCGGGCUCAACCUGGGACCUGCAUUUGUGACUGUAUAGCUAGAGUACGGUAGAGGGGGAUGGAAUUCCGCGUGUAGCAGUGAAAUGCGUAGAGAUGUGGAGGAACACCGAUGGCGAAGGCAGCCCCCUGGGCUGAGAUUGACGCUCAGGCACGAAAGCGUGGGGAGCAAACAGG
rnacentral:rRNA from 1 species